rnacentral:rRNA from 1 species
UACGUAGGGGGCAAGCGUUGUCCGGAAUCAUUGGGCGUAAAGCGCGCGUAGGCGGCCAGAUUAGUCCGGUGUGAAAGUCAGAGGCUCAACCUUUGAAUGCCGCUGGAAACUGUCUGGCUUGAGUCCGGAAGGGGCGAGUGGAAUUCCUGGUGUAGCGGUGAAAUGCGCAGAUAUCAGGAAGAACACCCGUGGCGAAGGCGGCUCUCUGGGACGGUACUGACGCUGAGACGCGAAAGCGUGGGGAGCGAACAGG